GGAUCCAGACUUUGAUCAUGGCUCAGGAUGAACGCUGGCGGCGUGCCUAACACAUGCAAGUCGAGCGAGAAGGUUAUGAUGGAUUCUUCGGAUGACAGAUUAAUUGGAAAGCGGCGGACGGGUGAGUAACGCGUGGGUAACCUGCCCCAUACACAGGGAUAGCCAUUGGAAACGAUGAUUAAUACCUGAUAAUACAUAUGAACCGCAUGAUUUAAAUGUCAAAGAUUUAUCGGUAUGGGAUGGACCCGCGUCUGAUUAGCUAGUUGGUAAGGUAAUGGCUUACCAAGGCGACGAUCAGUAGCCGACCUGAGAGGGUGAUCGGCCACACUGGAACUGAGACACGGUCCAGACUCCUACGGGAGGCAGCAGUGGGGAAUAUUGCACAAUGGGCGCAAGUCUGAUGCAGCAACGCCGCGUGAGCGAUGAAGGCCUUCGGGUCGUAAAGCUCUGUCCUCAAGGAAGAAAAAAUGACGGUACUUGAGGAGGAAGCCCCGGCUAACUACGUGCCAGCAGCCGCGGUAAU
rnacentral:rRNA from 1 species